UGAGUGCGAGCGGCUACGGCCGCGAAGUGGGUGAUGUCAAGCUUCCAAGAAAAGCCCUAUACCCGUUAAGGCAUGAUGGCCUGUACCCGAAACCGACACAGGUGGGGUGGUAGAGAAUACCGAGGGGCGCGAGGUAACUCUCUCUAAGGAACUCGGCAAAAUGGCCCCGUAACUUCGGGAGAAGGGGUGCCACCGCAAGGUGGUCGAGUGAAGAGGCCCAGGCGACUGUUUACCAAAAACACAGGUCUCCGCUAAGUCGCAAGACGAUGUAUGGGGGCUGACGCCUGCCCAGUGCCGGAAGGUUAAGGAAGCUGGUCAGCGCAAGCGAAGCUGGCGACUGAAGCCCCGGUGAACGGCGGCCGUAACUAUAACGGUCCUAAGGUAGCGAAAUUCCUUGUCGGGUAAGUUCCGACCCGCACGAAAGGCGUAACGAUCUGGGCGCUGUCUCGGAGAGAGGCUCGGCGAAAUAGAAUUGUCUGUGAAGAUGCGGACUACGUGCACCCGGACAGAAAGACCCUAUGAAGCUUUACUGUAGCUUGGUAUUGUGCCCGGGCUCUGAAUGCGCAGGAUAGGUGGGAGGCUUUGAUCCAUGGCUUGCGGGUCAUGGUGAGCCAACGGUGAGAUACCACUCUUUCAGAGCUAGGGUUCUAACGGUCACCCGUCAUCCGGGGACCGGACAGUAUCAGGUGGGCAGUUUGACUGGGGCGGUCGCCUCCUAAAAGGUAACGGAGGCGCGCAAAGGUUUGCUCAGGCUGGUUGGAAAUCAGCCGACGAGUGCAAAAGCAGAAGCAAGCUUGACUGUGAGACCUACAAGUCGAACAGGGACGAAAGUCGGCUUUAGUGAUCCGACGGUUCUGAGUGGAAGGGCCGUCGCUCAACGGAUAAAAGUUACUCUAAGGAUAACAGGCUGAUCUCCCCCAAGAGUUCACAUCGACGGGGAGGCUUGGCACCUCGAUGUCGGCUCAUCGCAACCUGGGGCUGAAGUCCGUCCCAAGGGUUGGGCUGUUCGCCCAUUAAAGCGGUACGCGAGCUGGGUUCAGAACGUCGUGAGACAGUUCGGUCCAUAUCCGGUGCACGCGCAGGAACAUUGAGAGGAUUUCUCCCUAGUACGAGAGGACCGGGAGGAACGCACCUCUGGUGUGCCAGUUAUCGUGCCAACGGUAAACGCUGGGUAGCCAUGUGCGGAGUGGAUAACCGCUGAAAGCAUCUAAGUGGGAAGCCCACCUCAAGAUGAGUGUUCCCAUGGCAUAAGCCAGUAAGGUCACGGGAAGAACACCCGUUGAUAGGCUCUACGUGGAAGCCGGGUAACCGGUGAAGCGGAGGAGUACUAAUAGACCGAGGGCUUGAC
rnacentral:rRNA from 1 species